GCGGACGUGGUGUACGGUGCACGGCCCAGCAUCCUGCUGGACGUUGACGAAAUUUGAUGGGCAGGUCGGGGUUCGAUUCCCCGUGUUCGCA